rnacentral:rRNA from 1 species
UACCAGACUCCUACGGGAGGCAGCAGUGGGGAAUAUUGCACAAUGGGGGAAACCCUGAUGCAGCGACGCCGCGUGAGCGAUGAAGUAUUUCGGUAUGUAAAGCUCUCUCAGCAGGGAAGAAGAUGACGGUACCUGACUAAGAAGCCCCGGCUAACUACGUGCCAGCAGCCGCGGUAAUACGUAGGGGGCAAGCGUUAUCCGGAUUUACUGGGUGUAAAGGGAGCGUAGACGGCGGCGCAAGCCAGAUGUGAAAGCCCGGGGCUCAACUCCGGGACUGCAUUUGGAACUGUGUGGCUGGAGUGUCGGAGAGGCAGGCGGAAUUCCUAGUGUAGCGGUGAAAUGCGUAGAUAUUAGGAGGAACACCAGUGGCGAAGGCGGCCUGCUGGACGAUGACUGACGUUGAGGCUCGAAAGCGUGGGGAGCAAACAGGAUUAGAUACCCCCGUAU